rnacentral:rRNA from 1 species
UACGGAGGGUGCAAGCGUUGUCCGGAAUCACUGGGCGUAAAGGGCGCGUAGGCGGUUUGUCGCGUCUGCCGUGAAAGUCCGGGGCUCAACUCCGGAUCUGCGGUGGGUACGGGCAGACUAGAGUGAUGUAGGGGAGACUGGAAUUCCUGGUGUAGCGGUGAAAUGCGCAGAGUAUCAGGAGGAACACCGGUGGCGAAGGCGGGUCUCUGGGCCGAUACUGACGCUGGAGGAGCGAAAGCGUGGG